rnacentral:rRNA from 1 species
UACGUAGGGUCCAAGCGUUAAUCGGAAUUACUGGGCGUAAAGCGUGCGCAGGCGGUCUGCUAAGAGAGGUGUGAAAUCCCCGGGCUUAACCUGGGAACUGCGCUUCUAACUGGCAGGCUUGAGUGUGGCAGAGGGGGGUGGAAUUCCACGUGUAGCAGUGAAAUGCGUAGAGAUGUGGAGGAACACCGAUGGCGAAGGCAGCCCCCUGGGCUAACACUGACGCUCAUGCACGAAAGCGUGGGGAGCAAACAGG